GAUGAACGCUGGCGGCGUGCCUAAUACAUGCAAGUCGAGCGGACGGACGAGAAUCUUGCUUCUCUGAUGUUAGCGGCGGACGUGUGAGUAACACGUGGAUAACCUACCUAUAAGACUGGGAUAACUUCGUGAAACCGGUGCUAAUACCGGAUAAUAUUUUGAACCGGAUGGUUCAAAAGUAAAAGAGGGUCUUGCUGUCCCUUAUAGAUGGAUCCGCGCUGCAUUAGCUAGUUGGUAAGGUAACGGCUUACCAAGGCAGCGAUGCAUAGCCGACCUGAGAGGGGGAACGCCCACUGUGAGACUGAGACGCGGUCCAGGCACCUACGGGAGGCAGCAGUAGGGAAUCUUGCGCGAUGGGCGAAAGCCUGACGGAGCAACGGCGCGUGAGUGAUGAAGGUCUUCGGAUCGGAAAACUCUGUUAUUAGUGAAGACCAUAUGUGUAAGUAGCUGUGCACAUCUUGACGGUACCUGAUGAGAAAGCAACGGCUAACUACGUG
rnacentral:rRNA from 1 species